AACGGCGCAUGCGCCUACCGGCCCCGAGUCUUUCGCUGUCUUCCCCGUGCCGUUGCUCCUGAGAACGAGGCUAGGGGCAAGGCGCGGGGAGGGCGGGCGCUGUGGGAGCCCUCCAAGGGGCUGAGAGAGUGUAAUUCCAAUAAGUGUCAGAGGUACAGGCCAACGUAAGCAAGCUUAGGCUGAAUGGGAGAUGACCAAAGAAAACCCAGCAGUUUCAGGAAGCAGUGCGGAUGAUGCAAUAUGUAACUAUUUAAAUAUUUAUCAACAAUGGAAGUCAUUGGUCCAGAGAGAGAAAGUGUGGAAUGACUCUGUAGCCUGGUGCCUAGGGCACUCAAUCUGACAGGGAACUCGGAACCAUGCUGAAGGAGAAGAAUAUCCAAACAAUCUUCUCUGAGAUCCUUCCUGCCCCACAAGCAAAGGAACACCCAAGGCAGAAGAUGCUGGAAGUAAAUCUUGCUUGCUAGGUUAUUGUUCCAUGUCAUUUACAGACUUUCAUACAAACUACUAUCAAAGACGCAAAUUGGAUCUGGCUUGGACUCAUCAUUACAUCCCCCAAGAGGAAAAGGAUUUGAGUGGAUGGCUCCCUCUUAAAUCAAACACUGUUGAAGGUAGUGGAUCCUGCUGAAAGGAACAGCUGUGGGGUGAUAAAAGCAGAUGAUAAUCAUUUUGAAAGCUGCACUACUGUAUCUAAAUGAAUUUGUGAAAAAGACACUCUCCUGAUAUAGACAGAGACAUUAGUGAUCUGCACUUCUGUGUGUGAACGAUAAAUCUUCUUUAGUUUCAGUCUGUCACAUGAAUGAUGAAUAUUGAAGGGUCCUCAGACAGCGAGGGAAGACAGCAGACAAGGAAAAUCUGCAUUUCAGGGAACAGAGGUGAGACGAAACAGCACAGAACUUUUCACCCCCAGACAUCAUGUCGCCUUCUUUACUGUUUGAAUAAACUUUGCUUUGAGGCAUGACCUUCAGGAAAAUGCAUCUCAAAGGGGCACUCGACUAUAAAAGUGAAGGGCAAAAAUAUCCCAAAUUCUGUCUUCCUCUCAAUCACCCUCUUUUCACCUAAGAGGGCAAAAGAAAGAGCCAUGGGACAUUUGGAAGCAGAUCCUGGCCUGAGAGUUUGGGCAGCAAUGUUACUGUGAACCUGUGGCAAGGGAUGUCACCUUGUACCAAGUCUAGGUUGUUUAGUGUAGAA